rnacentral:lncRNA from 1 species
CCAUGAUGGAAAAUAUAGUUAAUUCUCAUUUAAUUUCUUUUUAUUUCAUAGUCUCUCUAAGGAUUUCAUUACCACACCAUGAGAAUAAACUUAAUUCUGCUAAUGAAGUAAAAAUCGCUGUAUUUGAGAUGAAGAAUUCACUGUAGCAGCCACAGGUUUUUUUCCAGUCAUCAUCUUUGAGGAGGCUGUGUAUAGAGACACAGGAUAUUUUGCUAAAUGAUGCUCCUGGAGAAGUCGCCAGCUGUUGGCAGAAGGCCUUCUAGGCUCCUUGAAGAAGCCUGAAUGCAGAUUACUACACUUACCAGGAUCAGGUGCAUGGAUAUGCCACAUGAACAUGGUGCAUUUACUUAUCCCUUAGACAGUGUAUUUAAAGACAAAUUAAAAUAGAUUCUUGUUUGGCAUCGCUAUUGAGCUCCACUAUAUGCAUGGAUUUGAGCAACUCCAAUUGCAUCCUGAUGAGACUCCACCUUGCUAAGAGGUACUGGAAAUUAGGGUAAUGAUGCAAGAGCUCCUGUACAAUACCUACCAGAAAAGCUUAUCUCUA